rnacentral:lncRNA from 1 species
CUCCCUCACGUCUACCGCCGCCGCCACCUCCGUAGCUACCACCGCCACCUCCGUAUCCACCACCACCUCCGCUGCGGUAUCCACCGCCACCACCUCCACGGCCGCCUCCUCCGCCGCCGCUUCCUCGUGACUGAGCCUCGUUAACAGUGAUGCUACGUCCAUCGAGCUCUUGUCCGUUCAUUCCCUCAAUCGCAUCCUUCAUGGAUUUCUCAUCCUUGAAGGUCACGAAUCCGAAUCCCCUUGAUCUUCCAGUCUCACGAUCGUUAAUGAUCUGUUAUCCAAAAGCCAAAAAAAAACCAGAUCAGCAAAACAAUCCAACAAAGCUGAACAAAAUCAUUAGAUCUACUUCAAAAAAAAACACAAAAUUCCGAUCGAUCUCCGGGCUCACAGAAGCAGGAAGAUGAACGUACCGAUUUUGGGAAAAACAAGUAACAGUAACAGUAGUAACAAAGAACGAAUAGUAGUAACAGAGUAACAGUAAUCGAAUCAAGUAACAGAGAAACACAAGAUCGGAACAGAUCCGUCGAGGAUGAGAUCAUCGAAAUCACUCGGAGUCCGAUCUCGGCGUGUAACAGACCUUGGAAUCAACAACGUCGCCGUAUUGAGAGAAGGCAGUUUCAAGAGCUCUGUCAUCAGUGGCCCAAGCUAGACCUCCAACGAAGCACCGAUACUCAACAUCUGCGGACGCCAUUGAAAUUUGAGAAGAAGAUCUAGGGUUUACAGUGAGAGAAGUGAGCAGAGAGAUUUGUGAAGAAUGAAGAAGACGAAGUCUCGUUUUUAUAAGGGGGCUGAGAUAUUAACCAAGGUUUAGAUAUUUUUUAGGUUUAGAGUCGGUUUUGGUGAAUUUUGGUUUAACUAUGGUUAAAUGUGUGGUUAAAAUUCGUAGUGGUUGGGGACAUAUCACGUGACACUUUUUGGUUUAAUGCGCAAUUGGAAAGACGACGAUGCGAGAAAGGAUAUUUUUCUUUGUCCCAAGAAAAAAUAUCUCAGUGGAGCAAAAAAAUAUCUCGUAUGCCAAAUGACAUCUUUAUCCCUUAGCUCUAAAUUUGAAAUAACGUGGUGAUUGGUACUGGGCCGGAACAAUUGGGCUACUAUAAUUCGGCUAGUAGUAUAAUUGGGCCGCAAUAAUUGGGCAGAAAAAUUAAAUGCAAAACAUUAAUUUCGGAAAAAGAUAGUGUUGACAGUGGGAUUUGAACCCACGCCCUUUCGGACCAGAACCUUAAUCUGGCGCCUUAGACCAACUCGGCCAUAUCAACUUUGAUGCAAUGUAAUCGCGACUAUAAAAUUAGAUACUUAUAAAAUACAUGUAGUUCAUUCGUUUUAACUUUAACGAUAAGCAACAUUAAAAAAAGUGAAUUAAGGAGAAUAAAAAAUAAAGGAAAUCUGAUUAACCGUUUCUCUCCCAAAGCGAUCAAGAAGGCGACUUUUAACAAAAACAACUUUUCAUUAUCUUCUCCGGCCGGCGUCGACUCCGGCGUCGGCCGUACUUUCUUUUCUAUUUUUUGUUUCGUUUGUAGUUUUAAGUUUCUAAAUAAAAUCUCAAUCAGAGACGUGUUUACUUGUGUGAUCAUCACCAAAUCACCAAUUACUAUUGCUUGGCUUCUUCCCGUAGACGAAAUGGCUUCAUGUGGCAAAGUAAGAGAUGGUUUUUCGGUGAUGGGGUUGUCUGGUAGCGUAGGACAUGGCGAUCCGGAUAUGAUGAUGCCUUUGUUAACAAAUCCAUGGUUGGGUUUGUCUCAAUUCUGGGUCUCCACAUUGAUAGCCGAUGCCACUUCGAUUCUCGCUCUCAGGGUUUUCUUUCCUCUUCACAGAGGCGUAAUUGUCCGUGCGAUGAUGAUAUGGUUCAUUCACGGUGUUUUUUCGGGUAUGCCCGACCUUCUCGGUUUGGUGACAAUAGUUGCCGACGGCUUCUUAAUGCAAAUUUGCGGCCCUCGACGCAUAUGGAAUCCCGGAAUCACAUCGGAGACAUUUGUCGUGAAGCUCUUCAACGACGUCUUUGGUUUGAGAUGUAUAAUAGGAUGGGAUUACACUAGUACCAAGCCAAACUUUCUAAUGUGCAUUAUGACACCGAUACGGACUAAUUGGUAUUGGAUUGUCGGGAUUUCAAAACUUAUUCUAGGAACAACGGGCUUUUUACAUGUGAUGUGGAGUUUCGAACAAAGAAUGCCAAUAGGGCAUACAUAUCACAUUCGAGUAGGGUGGCUUAUGAAGAAGGAACAUAAUAUGUUUAUCAUGUUAGCGAGUAAGGCUUAUCGAAAGGAAGCAUCGUCAAAUUCACUUUUUCACUUUCGUCAUCUUCAAUAUAUGGCACAUAAUUCUGCUUAUGUAAUAAAUUGUUUUAUGAAGUUUUGUAAUGGUUUUGUACUUGUUGUAAUACCAAUUGUUUAAUGAAAGUUUUUAGAAGGAAACAAAAAAAUAAGGAGAAUAAAAAAUAAAGGAUAAUGUAUUGGGAAGAGAAUUAAGGAGAAUAAAAAAUAAAGGAUAAUGUAUUGUGAAGAGAAUUAAGGAGAAUAAAAAAUGAUUCUUUCGAAUACAAAUUUUCUUUUUUGGAUAUUUUUUUUUUAACUUCUGAAACUUGCAUUAAAUAGUAUAAGGUUGGUACAGAUUUUUUUUUUUUUGCUAAGAGAGUAAAUAUCAAUAGAUGAAAGUUUUGGUGUUACAAUAUAUAAGACCUAGAAGCAUGAACCUUGCCAAAAAAAAGUUAAAAAACAAGGAUACAUUAAAGAGUACACAAUAACAAUUAAGGAAAGAAACCGAUCCUUAGCUGAGCCAUAAGGCCAUGAGGUUGGUACAGUCGUACAGAUAUGGAAUCAACCAAAUAGGAGUUUUAUGGAAGUUAACCAGUAAAUGAGAAUUUAUUUACUCGGUGAAAUGAAAUUAUGUUUCCUUAUAAAUAGUUAAAUACACACUACGGCUUCUUUAAAAAAAUUCAAUUCCGUUAAUUCUCUCUUCUGACUUCAUACGAUGGUUGUAAUCUCUGAAAUUUCCGACGACGGCUCUAAUGGCGGCGAUCAUCAAAAAAAGAAACCUAAGGAAGAAGAGAAUCGAAACAAGAAACUGAAAGAAAAGGUUAAGGUGUCGCUACCAAUUCCAGAAGAACUCAUCCUACGUUGCUUCCUACUCGUUCGGAGAUGCCACCACCCGUCGCUUCCUUCGUCUCAUGCCAAAGCUCUACGACGAUCGCUUGCGUCUCGGCUACACCGAAAGCGUUCUUUAUGCCUGUAAUAGGAUAAACCGGUAACCGGUUUAUCCUAUUACAAUGCCUAUAUCGUACUUCUUCCUUCUGAUGAAAACCCUAGCUGGUACAUUCUCCAUCGUAAACCCUAUCGAAACUUGCCGAACACGACUUCUUUAAGAUUGUGCAAACUCGAUAUACUCCCUUUCCCUCCCAUGCUUUGGGGAUUUGUUGUGGUCUCAAUCGGUUCGGAUAUCUGAGUCGGCGAGGAACGCUCAUCGGAUAUGACUCUCAUCGAUUGCAAAUCUCACAAGUAUCGCUCGCUACCAAGAAUGAAGGUGGCUCGCUGUCUUGCAGCCGCAGGUGUAAUUGACGGAAAGAUAUACGUAAUUGGAGGUUGCUUAACAACACGAUCUUCGGAUUUUAUAGAAGUGUUCGAUGUAAAGACUCAGAUAUGGAGUGGAACGGUGAAGCCGAUUGAGAUACUACCUAGUGUGAGUAGAUAUUUUGAGGCAUGUGCGGUGAUAGAGGAGAAGAUUUACCUUAAGGGUGAUCACCAUUGUUUUGUUUACGAACCCAAAGAAAGUAAAUGGAUGCGUUUGAAAUUCCUUGAGUUGAAUCUUCUGUUCAAUGAAUCGUCUUGUGUGAUAGGUGAUAAGUUGUUUCUCAUUCAUGGAGGAAGGGAUUUUUUUGGGAUCCAAUAGUUGUGUGUGAUCUAAAGAAGAAGGAAGUGAGACCCUUGAAGGGUUUACAAGGGUUUCCGGAUAAUAUAAACAUGGCGGCGUCUAAAAUGGCGAAUUUUGGUGGAAGGUUGGUGAUUUUGGGAUGUAAUCAGCGUCAGACUUUAACUAGGUAUGAAGAAAAAAAAGAGGUUUGGUGCGUAGAGAUUGAAUUGGAAGAAAGGGAAGAAGGAGGUGAGAUUUGGGGGAAGGUUGAAUCAGUCGAUGUUGUGCUUACUACAAGAAAACAAGGCUCUUUCCAACGGAUUUUCUGACAGCAAAAAAAUGGUCGGAAAUUUUUGACGGUUUACCGAUACUAUUCUGUCGGCUUUCCGACGACAGUCCUCCCGUCGCAAAUCCGUCGCAAAUUUCCGACGGCUUUUUUGUGGUCGAAAAUUCGUCAGUGAUUUCCGACGACAUUCCGAUCAAAUUAAAUUCGGCGACGUAUUUCCGACGGUUUUCCAACCAAAAUAUAUUCGUUAUGAUCCGUCGGAAAUCCGUCGGGAGGCGAGGUUAUUUUCCGACGGAUUUCCGAUCACAAUAUUAUAAUCCGUUGGAAAUCCGUCGGGAUGCUAAAGCUAUUUUUCGGUGGAAAUUAUGAUCAAAAUAUACCCGUAAAUAUAGAUCAAAAUAAGCGGAUCUCCGUUUUAUAGCCGUUCGAAAAUUUUAAAAUUCUUCGGUAUCCGUCGGAAAUCCAUCAGAUAUUUCCAACGGCUUUCCAACGAACUAUAAGCAACGUGCCAUAUUAAUUAUUAAUUUCGUAUCAUGUUCGUCCGAUUAAUAGUUACCGUCGGAAAUUGGUCGGGCAUUUCUGACGAUUUUCCGACCAGUCAGGCUUUAGGGUAAUGAAAUUGUUCAAUUUCAUUGCAAAUUUGUGAAAAAAUUAGAAAUAAACUUCAUGUUUGUUGAAUGAGAAACUAAUAAAUCCAAGAAAAUUUUGAUUUUUCAUCAAUUUCUAUUUUUGCAAAAGAAACACAUAAGUCUUUUAAAACUUCAAGUGUUAAGUGUAGUGUAUUCUAUUGGUCCACUAGUAUAUUAGUGUUGUGUUUAACAUUUGAAGUACUAAACUAUGUAGUAAACUUCAUCUAAUUAAAUGGUUAAGCUUGUUUAUGUGCAAUGAAUCAUUGUACUUCAAAAUCAAAUCUCAAACCCCUAACUGGUCAGAAAUCCGUCGGAAAGUUCCAACAAAUUUUCGACUGCGUUUUUUGAAGAUUUUGGUUAGGCAUUCGUAUGCAAAAUAAUAUUUUAUGUUCCCGACGGAUUUCCGAGGGAUUUUUUUUGCCGUCGAAAAUCCGUCGGAAACGAAAAUAAAUAUUUCCCGCUGAGACGAAAAGCUAAGCGGCAAUAUAUGAUUUAUUAAUUUAAUUCUCAUAAAUGUUUUCCUUUUCUCUUUGGUUUUCACGCUUCUCCAUCUUUCCAAAAUGAGAACCCAAAAUUCUCUCUCAGAUCUCUCAAUUCUCACUCAAUCUCUCUAAGAUCCCUUAAAUCAUUCAAUAUCCCUCAAAUAUCUCUUAAUACUCUCACAAUUUCUUUCACAUCUCAACUCUCUCAAUCUCUCUCUGUCUCCCUCAAUCUCUCCACGUCUGUCUCCCUCAAUCUCUCCACGUCUCAUCUCAAACUCUCUACAGCCAUGUAAGUGAACCUUCUCUACCAAUUUCAAUUAGUGUUUUAGAUUUCGUUAAUUUUUGUUAUGAUUUGUUGAAAUUCUGGAUGUGUAGGUUGAUAGAUUUAUUUGUUAGUGAUAGGUUUAGGUUCAUAGAAUUAUAUUGUUUAUAGAAUUGAACAAAAUUUAGGAUGUUUGGAUUAAAACCUAAGAGGUUUAGGUUAUUAGAUUUGGAUUAAAAUUUCUGAAUUUUAGGCGUUUAGGUUAAAAGAUUUAUUAAACGAAAUUAAAAAAAUUACAUUUGUAAUAUAUUUUGAAAAUAUAGAACGUGGCUAGAAGUUAAUUUAGGAUAUAUUAAGAAUAUGCAAAAUCUAAUUUUUAAUAAUUAUGUAAACGAAUUUAUUUAUUUAUUUUGGUAUAUUAAGCUAAACGAUAUUAUAGAAAAUGGAUUUUAACAAAAGAAUGGUUAUAAUUAAUAAAUUUAGAAGUCUUUUGGAUUUCCCAUUUAAAAACAAAUUUUACUAAGAUAUCUAAAAGUUUUUUUGAAAUUAGAAACUUUGAUUUUAUUAAACUGUUUACUAAUAAUAUUAUUUUAUUUUGUAGGGGUUCUUACCAAGAUUUUCGCAGGUCCGAGGAUCGAUCGAAUAAUCAGGCGCACUCGACAACCCCAUCACCAUCGACCGUUCCCGAGUCGCAGCAGUCCACGGCUCGUCUACCAAUGACAGUUGAGGAGCUAGUCCAACAACCAGGGCGGACACUUCUUCGACGACUCCAUCCAAAAAGGCUCGAAAAAGGGAGCACAUGGUAAGUAAAUUUUGUUUUCCUGUUUUAAUAUAUACAUAUUUUAAAGUAGAAAUAAUAUUACUUCUCUAUAUUUGUAGGUUUGGUUAUACCAAAAAUGGCAUAUCCAAAUCCAUUUUACGGAUGUUGCACGGGAUGCUCAAACAUCCGUAUCCGACUUACAGUGAUAUGCCUAGCGACGAUCGAGAGCUUUGGUUCAGGACUUUCGCAGUAAUGCAUUUAUUAUUACGUACUUGAUUUUGUAUUUUUUUUAUACUACUAACAUAAUUCUUUUGGUUUGUAGCAUGAAUUCGAUUGGGAUACUGUCCACACACCCCUUGUCCGUGUCGCGUUUACAAAGUAUGCUUCAUUAAAAUAUUCAGGCCACAUGAAUGCAUGGAAAGAAAAGUGGGCGGAAGGCAAGGAGUGUCCAAAAGGCUUGAACCCAGACGUAUGGCCUGGCUUCAAACAGUAUUGGGGGUUGCCGGAUACUGCUCGUACCGCGGAAACCAACUCAAAAAACCGGAAGAGCCAACAAGGUGGCAAAGGUAUGGCGGUGCACAAUGCGGGUUCGACGAGCUUCUUAAGUCGUAUAGACGAAUUGGUAAGUCUUUUACUUUUAUUUGAUUUCAUGUUUUCUUUACAAUUUAACUUUUUUUUUUUUAUAUAUAGACGGAGAAAAACGGAGGUGUGGAACCUGAUUUUGUAGAAGUCAUUGAGGAUACACACACCAACAAGAAAACAGGAAAAAUUCAAGAUGAUUACAUCGCAGGCCUCGUUGAGACGUUGAAGAAAAGGAAGACGGAGUGCCUCACGCAGCUUUCUCAAAAUGAUGAUGGUUCCUCAUCAUCCAACGUCUUAGUCCGAGAAAAGAUCAACCGCAUGGUUCUUGAGGUAAGCUUUGUUUUAUAACUUAACAUUUUUUUGUAUACAUUUUAAAGUUUACUAACAAUUAUUAUAUACAAAUUCAGAAAAUUCCGCUAAAGCGGGUCGUGUGGUGGGCUUAGGUAGCCUAAACCAAAGCAACGGAUGUUCUUAUUCCGGUCCUUCACAGAAUUCCGAGAUCUUUGCAGAGCUUGAAGAAAAAGACAAGGAGAUCUUAGCAUUGAAAGAGCAAAACAAGAAGAUUCUUGACUUCAUGCGUUCAAAAUUUUCCGAUUUUCCCGAUGAUCUAUAAAUGCUUUUGUUUUAGUUUAAUUUUGUUGUAUUGGUAAACAAUCUUCUUUUCUUUUGUUGGAUAAUAUAUGCAUUUUUCAAAUAUUUAUUUAGUAAAAAAAUUUAUAUAUUUAUUUAGUAAAAUUUUCAAUAAAUAGUUUUUUAAAAAAUUUAAAAUUAAAAAAUUAUUUAAUUAGUGAUUAAAUAUGAUCCGUCGGUAAUCCGUCGGCUACUUAAACAUCGUCGGAAAUCCGUCAGUAAAAUACCGUCGGGAAUUCAUCGGGAAUCACUCCAUCAGUAAACUGUCGAACGUUGAUACCAACCGAUUCCCGACAAAGUUCCGAUGAAAUAACGGACAAUAGUUUUGGUUAGGAAACCGUCGGAAAGCAUCACCGACGGGUUUUCGACGGUCGGUUCCGACGAUUUUCCAACCGUUUACCCAAACGUAGCUAUUGUCCGAAAACCGUCGGGAACGAGUCGGAAAAGCUAUCGUCGGCAAUUUGAAACGAAUUUCCGACGCCUUUUAAAUUUCCGACGAGAUCGAACCGACCAAUCGAGUUCGUCGAAAAUCCGUCGGAAACAGCCAUUUCCGACGCCAUGCCGACGCCAUGUUACAGUUUGAUUCCUCUCUGCUAGUGUCAGAUAUUGAAACUGUAAGACUCAAAACAGAACACAAGAAACAGAGGAUAUAUGAAGAAUAAGAAGAACACAUGUAUCUUUAGUUACUAGCUAGUUAGCUAGGUUUUUUGUGAAGUUCUUUCCGUUUGCUUUUCGAUUUAUCUUCUUCUGCAAGUUAUUGCAAUUAGGCAUAACAAAGCCCAAAUGUGCUUCUUUGUUAUGAGCAAAUGUGUAAUCUUGGUGUAAAUGUUAGUGUUACUUAACAAAUCUUCACUUUCUACAAAAUCAAAUUUGAUGAAAUUUAAAUUGAGUUGAGACCAAAGAAACUUGUCCGUUGAGAGACGUUUUCAUAAAUUCUUCUAUUUGUGAAUUUUUAUAAGGUAGCUUAAGAGAAAACAAAAAUUUACUGUUUACAAAAAAAAAAGACUCACUGAUAUAGUUUCCGAAGAAAACAAAACAUAUGCAAAUUAUGUUACCAAAUACCAAUUAAUUUAUUGUUCACUUUUUAUAAAAAAAAAAAAAAGUAAAAAAAAAAGUAAGUGAAGAAAAACACAUUAAAGAAAAUAAAUAAUGAUAAUGUAUGAGAACAAUAUUUUAAGAAGAAUAAAAAAAUGAUUCUUUCUAAUGCAAAUUAUCUCUUUGGAUUUUUUUUUUUUAUAAUAAAAAUGAUGAACAUUUUCUAAAUUAUAAAUAUACACAACAAUUUCUAUGGAAUUGCCGGGGGCGAAUAAACCCAAUUUUCGACGAUCAAUACGUUACUUGCUCAAGAAGUUUGACACGGAUAUCCUCGCUCUCUUUGAAACUCACGCAGAAGGGGAGAGAGCGGGCAGGAUAUGCCAGCGGUUGGGCUUUGACAACUCGUACAGGGUGGAUGCGAAUGGCCAAAGCGGUGGUUUAUGGCUUCUGUGGCGAUCAAGAGUUGGGCAGGUCGCAAUUCUUGAAGCCUCAGACCAGUUCAUACAUGCAAAGGUGGGUGAUGGAGAGGAUUGUAUCCAUUUGGUGGCAGUCUAUGCAGCUCCAACGGUUAGUAGGAGAAGCGGUUUAUGGGGAAAGCUGCGGGAGCUCGUGAGGGACAUAAGGGAGCCAUUAAUCAUAGGAGGUGAUUUUAACACGAUUUUGCUGUUAGAUGAGAGGAUAGGGGUAAUGGAAGACUCUCACCCGACUCGCUUGCGUUUGGUGAAUGGAUAAAUGACCUAUCACUAAUAGAUAUGGGCUUUAAAGGAGGACCGUAUACAUGGAGACGGGGACGUAUGGAGAGUACAGUGGUUGCAAAAAGACUAGAUCGUGUUCUUUGUAACCCACAUGCUAGAUUGAAGUGGCAGGAGGCGGUGGUGACCCAUCUUCCUUUUUUAUCGUCGGAUCAUGUGCCGUUAUAUGUACAAUUAGAGCCGAAGAGUAAUUCUGACCCGAAGAGGAGACCUUUCCGAUUUGAGGCGGCGUGGUUGAGUCACAAGGGUUCAAAGAAUUGUUAAUGGCGUCUUGGGAUCCGUCAUUAGAAACUCCAAAAGCAUUGGAGGGGCUGCAGAGAACGUUAAAAAAAUGGAAUAGGGAGGUGUUUGGGGAUAUUAACACAAGGAAGGAGAAAUUGUUGGGAGAGAUCAAGGCGGUGCAGGACUUGUUGGUGGUAGCACAAACGGAUGAGCUCUUGGCGAAGGAGGCGGAGGUGUUGCAGAAUUUUGACGCCGUACUUGAGCAAGAAGAGACUCUCUGGUUUCAAAAAUCAAGAGAGAAAUUUAUUGCUCUGGGAGAUAGAAACACAACGUUUUUUCACACAUCAACGGUGAUUAGAAGGAGGAGGAACAGAAUUGAAAUGUUGAAAAAUAGUGAAGAGCUUUGGGUUUCAGAUAAGGAAGAGUUAGAGAGAAUGGCGCUGGAGUAUUAUCAACAAUUAUACUCGGUGGGAGGGCUAACCAUAGAGAGACCACAACUACCGAUGAAUGGUUUCUCAAAUUUAACUAGGGAGGAGAAGUUAAAGUUAGAGAAACCGUUCACGGAGGAGGAGGUAGUGGUGGCGGUGAAGAGCAUGGGGAAGUUCAAAGCACCGGGACCGGAUGGUUUUCAACCCGUGUUUUAUCAGGAGUGUUGGGAGAUUGUUGGGAUUUCGGUGAAAAGCUUUGUGUUGGGGUUCUUUGAAUCGGGAGUGUUGCCGACGGCUGCGAACGAUGCGUUGCUAGUAUUGCUGGCCAAGGUUGCGAAACCAGAAAAAAUAACUCAGUUUCGGCCCGUGAGUUUGUGCAAUGUUUUGUUCAAAGUGAUAACGAAGAUGAUGGUUAUUAGGCUGAAGAAUGUCAUCUCUAAGUUGAUUGGUCCCGCCCAAGCAAGCUUUAUACCGGGACGACUAAGUAUUGACAACAUAGUGGUGGUACAAGAGGCGGUACACUCUAUGCGUCGAAAAAAAGGACGGAAGAGGGUGGAUGCUCUUGAAGUUAGACCUUGAGAAAGCCUAUGAUAGAGUACGAUGGGAUUUCUUAGCGGAGACUUUGGAGGCUGCGGGUCUCUCGGAGGGAUGGAGGAGGAGGAUAAUGGAAUGUGUAUGCGAUCCAUCUAUGUGUAUAUUGUGGAAUGGGGAGAAGACGGAUGCGUUCAAACCGGAGAGAGGGCUAAGGCAGGGAGACCCUUUGUCGCCAUAUUUGUUUGUGUUGUGCUUGGAGAGGUUGUGUCACCUUAUUGAAGUAGCGGUCGGGAAAGGGGAGUGGAAGCCAAUCGGGUUAUCGCAAGGAGGUCCGAAAGUCUCACAUAUAUGCUUCGCGGACGAUUUAAUUCUGUUUGCGGAGGCGUCGGUGGCUCAAGUGCGGGUAAUAAGGAAGGUACUAGACACUUUUUGUAUGGCGUCGGGUCAAAAAGUGAGUCUAGAGAAGUCUAAAAUAUUUUUUUCGGCGAACGUAAGCAGAGAUAUGGAAAGAUUGAUCACUGAAGAGAGUGGGAUUGGAUCCACACGGGAACUUGGGAAGUAUCUUGGGAUGCCAAUCUUGCAAAAGAGGAUCAAUAAGGAUACAUUUGGCGAAGUUCUUGAGCGUGUGUCCGCAAGAUUGGCGGGUUGGAAGAGUAAGACUUUGAGCUU